rnacentral:rRNA from 1 species
GAUGAACGCUGGCGGCGUGCCUAAUACAUGCAAGUCGAGCGAACGGACGAGAAGCUUGCUUUUCUGAUGUUAGCGGCGGACGGGUGAGUAACACGUGGAUAACCUACCUAUAAGACUGGGAUAACUUCGGGAAACCGGAGCUAAUACCGGAUAAUAUUUUGAACCGCAUGGUUCAAAAGUGAAAGACGGUCUUGCUGUCACUUAUAGAUGGAUCCGCGCUGCAUUAGCUAGUUGGUAAGGUAACGGCUUACCAAGGCAACGAUGCAUAGACGACCUGAGAGGGAGAUCCGCCACACUGGAACUGAGACACGGUCCAGACUCCGACGGGAGGCAGCAGUAGGGAAUCUUACGCAAUGGGCGAAAGCCUGACGGAGCAACGCCGCGUGAGUGAUGAAGGUCUUCUGAUCGUAAAACUCUGUUAUUAGGGAAGAACAUAUGUGUAAGUAACUGUGCACAUCUUGACGGUACCUAAUCAGAAAGCCACGGCUAACUACGUG